rnacentral:rRNA from 1 species
CCCCCCAAACUGGGAUUAGAUACCCCACUAUGGUUAGCCCUAAACAUAGAUAAUUUUACAACAACAUAAUUCGCCAGAGGACUAGCAGCAAUAGCUUAAAACUCAAAGGACUGGGCGGGUCUCAAAUCCAUCUAGAGGAGCCUGUUCUAUAAUCGAUAUAUCCCAAAC